rnacentral:rRNA from 1 species
AUGCAAGAGGCAAACAAAUCUAUGAAAGAAAAAUGUAUUAAAGCUGAUGAUGUUAAGAAUUUACCGCAUAUUGAAGAAAUACACGGUCUUAAUUUGCCGCCUGUUGAAGAAAUACAUGGUCUUGAUAACCCGACACAGGUAGUAAAGGUAAAUUCUCUCUAUAGAUUUGAUGAAGGUGAUAUUUCUUGUUAUAAGUUUGCUAGCCAAUGCUUAGAUGAAUUUGAUAAUUUUAUUGUCAAACAAGAAAACUUCAAUGCUUAUGUUGGUAGACAAUUGAAACGCAAUGCUUAUAUGAUUGAGCACUUGAGUGAUUAUAUGUCUAGAGUUAAAUGUGAACUCAAACUCAUUAGUAAACAUGCUUCUAUGGUUACCACUCAAGUAGAACAAGUGCUUAAAGCUCAAAAUGAUUUGCUCAAAUAG